rnacentral:tRNA from 2 species
GCAUGGGUGGUUCAGUGGUUGAAUUCUCACCUGCCAUGCAGGAGGCCCAGGUUUGAUUCCUGGUCCAUGCA